ACGGGUCGAAUUGAGACAAUAUCAAAAUAUCCAGUAAAAUCUAAAAGAAUAAAAAACUCGAUUUUGAUGCGCUAUAAAACGCGAGGGACCAAGUGCAUAAAUAUACCUUUCAUCGCAAAAACACGCGGAUCCCUAAGGUAUUGGGUUGGGUCGGCAGGUAUAACUCAAUACGGCACCGUUUUAGAGCCAUUGACACAGGCCUAAACGGUGUCGUUUUUCCCACUUUAAAUAGCCCUCUUUAAACCCUAAAACCAGUAGCCACUUCUGGGUUUUUUGGUCGCCGCGUAGACUCUAGACCCUCAACUUUCAACUCCGAUUUGGGACGGAGCAAGCAUAGAUUUAGAUGGCGCCGUCGACGGAAGGUAAAUCACUCACACCUCUUUCUUUUCUCUUUUAUUAUUUUUGCAUAAAAAACGAAACAAAGAGGGAAAAAUGAAUGAAAAAAAUUCUAAGAAUCACCUUAAAAAACACUGAUAGUCGAUUUCUUUUUUCUCUUUUUUAUAUUCAGUAUCCAUAAAAAAGGAAAUACAAAGGCUUUCUGUUCUUAUAGCCUCUUUCGAAAAAAACAGAAUAAUAGAUAAAAAUGAAAAUAAAAAAUACAAUUCGUUUAUGUUCUCUGCUGUGCUUUGUUUGUUUGCACGCAGGUACGAUCGUACGGGGGCUGACGUGGCGGCACGAAGGUGGCCGUACGGAGGCGCACGUGGUUGGGGAGAACGACGCUGUGUGGAGGGGAGCCUGCGGGCUGCGACGCUGAGAAUUCUGGAAACCCUAGGGGUUUUUGAAAAUUUUCGUUUUGGGUUUCAAUGUAAUUGGGCCAGGGUAUUUGGGCCAUUUGGGUUUAAUUUUUAAUAGGCUCUGUUAAUUUUGCUGUAGUCUGGACAUGGACUUUAAUUAUGCUUGGUUUAUAUAUUUUUUAUUACGGACCGGACAAAUUGGGCCUAUUACAUAUCUCUGCCGUAAAAAAUAUAUAAGAUGAACACUGUACCUAAAUUAAGUAAACUAAGUUUGGUACAACAAAUUUAUAUAGAUUAUAAG
rnacentral:lncRNA from 1 species